UACUCGAGUGGCGAACGGGUGAGUAACACGUGGGUGAUCUGCCCUGCACUUCGGGAUAAGCCUGGGAAACUGGGUCUAAUACCGGAUAGGAGCCAUUUUUAGUGUGAUGGUUGGAAAGUUUUUUCGGUGUAGGAUGAGCUCGCGGCCUAUCAGCUUGUUGGUGGGGUAAUGGCUUACCAAGGCGGCGACGGGUAGCCGGCCUGAGAGGGUGGACGGCCACAUUUGGACUGAGAUACGGCCCAG
rnacentral:rRNA from 1 species